rnacentral:snRNA from 1 species
AGCUUUGUGCCGCGGUAGUAUUGGAGUCAAUGAGGUUGAUCCGAGGCACGAUAAUUGCUAGUGGACA